rnacentral:rRNA from 1 species
GACGAACGCUGGCGGCGUGCUUAACACAUGCAAGUCGAACGGAAAGGCCCUGCUUUUGUGGGGUGCUCGAGUGGCGAACGGGUGAGUAACACGUGAGUAACCUGCCCUUGACUUUGGGAUAACUUCAGGAAACUGGGGCUAAUACCGGAUAGGAGCUCCUGCUGCAUGGUGGGGGUUGGAAAGUUUCGGCGGUUGGGGAGGGACUCGCGGCUUAUCAGCUUGUUGGUGGGGUAGUGGCUUACCAAGGCUUUGACGGGUAGCCGGCCUGAGAGGGUGACCGGCAACAUUGGGAAUGAGAUACGGCCCAGACUCCUACGGGAGGCAGCAGUGGGGAAUAUUGCACAAUGGGCGGAAGCCUGAUGCAGCAACGCCGCGUGCGGGAUGACGGCCUUCGGGUUGUAAACCGCUUUCGCCUGUGACGAAGCGUGAGUGACGGUAAUGGGUAAAGAAGCACCGGCUAACUACGUG